rnacentral:rRNA from 1 species
UACGUAGGGUGCGAGCGUUAAUCGGAAUUACUGGGCGUAAAGCGUGCGCAGGCGGUUCGUUAAGUCUGAUGUGAAAGCCCUGGGCUCAACCUGGGAAUGGCAUUGGAAACUGGCGACCUAGAGUGCGGUAGAGGGUAGUGGAAUUCCCGGUGUAGCAGUGAAAUGCGUAGAGAUCGGGAGGAACAUCCGUGGCGAAGGCGACUACCUGGACCAGCACUGACACUGAGGCACGAAAGCGUGGGGAGCAAACAGG